CGUUCUUUGGUCGUCCACUUCGCCGGCCGCAGCGGCGGUCCACCCGACGCCGCCACCAGACUUGUCCCCGAUGGCUUCUGAGACACUUGGGCUGGCGACCCACCACCAGUUCACCCCUCCACCCUCCCUUGAUUUUUGUUCCUGCUUUUGGGGGUGUUCAGAUUCUAGGACAUCUGGAAUCUGUCCAUAGGGGGGGGAUACUGUUGUGGGACAUGCGCAUUCUGCGUCUCUCUCCGCUGCGAGUCCAACCAGAGGACCCGCCGACAGCGCACUCCAGACACGCCCCCGCAUUCAUCAAGCGGACCGCGCCCACUCUCCGCCGCAGCCGGCUGCAGGACACACCUGUGACUGACGAUGAGCAGCAUAAAAGACCAGUGGACACAGGGAUCCGUGCGGGAACUUAGUUCCAAAUGCGUACCAAUCCUCCGUCGCCCGCAAGGUGAGCUGUGCGUCUCACUCUUUUCCCUGGAUCUCCCUCUGGAUUCUGACUGCCUCCUUUGUACCUCGACUCCUCGCUCGUUUGACCUGAACCCUCUGCCUGCCCCACGGACUUCCGCGUUCUCUUUUGUCAACACUUGGGUAAAACACACUUCAGUUAAUUUACACACUUAGAGUAACACCAUACACUCUAUAGUUUUUGCCACGCUCCAUUUACUUAGUAUAUUUUCUGUUGAUUUAUUAUUACAUAUAUAUAUUAAUAAAUAUUUGGACAUACUGCCA